rnacentral:rRNA from 1 species
UAACUACGUGCCAGCAGCCGCGGUAAUACGUAGGUGGCAGCGUUGUCCCGGAAAUUAUUGGGCGUAAAGCGCGCGCAGGCGGUUUUCUUAAGUCUUGAUGUGAAAGCCCCCGGCUCAACCGGGGAGGGUCAUUGGAAACUGGGGAACUUGAGUGCAGAAGAGGAGAGUGGAAUUCCACGUGUAGCGGUGAAAUGCGUAGAGAUGUGGAGGAACACCAGUGGCGAAGGCGACUCUCUGGUCUGUAACUGACGCUGAGGCGCGAAAGCGUGGGGAGCGAACAGGAUUAGAUACCCUGGUAGUCCACGCCGUAAACGAUGAGUGCUAAGUGUUAGAGGGUUUCCGCCCUUUAGUGCUGCAGCAAACGCAUUAAGCACUCCGCCUGGGGAGUACGGUCGCAAGACUGAAACUCAAAGGAAUUGACGGGGGCCCGCACAAGCGGUGGAGCAUGUGGUUUAAUUCGAAGCAACGCGAAGAACCUUACCAGGUCUUGACAUCCUCUGACAACCCUAGAGAUAGGGCUUCCCCUUCGGGGGCAGAGUGACAGGUGGUGCAUGGUUGUCGUCAGCUCGUGUCGUGAGAUGUUGGGUUAAGUCCCGCAACGAGCGCAACCCUUGAUCUUAGUUGCCAGCAUUCAGUUGGGCACUCUAAGGUGACUGCCGGUGACAAACCGGAGGAAGGUGGGGAUGACGUCAAAUCAUCAUGCCCCUUAUGACCUGGGCUACACACGUGCUACAAUGGGCAGAACAAAGGGCAGCGAAGCCGCGAGGCUAAGCCAAUCCCACAAAUCUGUUCUCAGUUCGGAUCGCAGUCUGCAACUCGACUGCGUGAAGCUGGAAUCGCUAGUAAUCGCGGAUCAGCAUGCCGCGGUGAAUACGUUCC